rnacentral:tRNA from 1 species
UUCCCGGGGAUGGGAAUCGAACCCACAGUGUUCCGCUUACCGGGCAGAUGCCAUGUCCACUAGGCUACCCUGGA